GACGAAAGAGGGAGGAGUGCUUAACACAUGCAAGUCGAACGGAAAGGCCCUGCUUGCAGGGUCCUCGAGUGGCGAACGGGUGAGUAACACGUGGGUGAUCUGCCCUGCACUUCGGGAUAAGCUUGGGAAACUGGGUCUAUUACCGGAUAGGAGCCAUCUCUAGUGUGGUGGUUGGAAAGUUGUUUCGGUGUAGGAUGAGCUCGCGGCCCAUCAGCUUGUUGGAGGGGUAACGGCCUACCAAGGCGGCGACGGGUCGCCGGCCUGAGAGAGUGGACGGCCACAUGGGAAAUGAGAAACGGGCCAGAGUCCAGAGGGAGGCAGCAGGGGGGAGUAUGGCACAAUGGGCGCAAGCCUGAUGCAUGAACGCCGCGUGGGGGGUGAAGGCCGUCGGGGUGUAAACUCCUAUCGCUAGGGACGAAGCUUUGUUGUGACGGUACCUAGAUAAGAAGCACCGGCUAACUACGUG
rnacentral:rRNA from 1 species